GCGCAGCGUGGGAGUUAGUUCUGGUGAGGGCGCCAGCCGGCUCACUCGCUAAACUAAAACCCACCGCCCCGAAGCCCUCUCCAGCCCCCCUGUCCUCUCAUCAUCUCUCUCUCUCUCUCUCUCCCCAUCUUUCUCUCUCUCUCUCUUUCUCGUUUGCCAAAGAAGCAACCUCCAACGCGGUCUCACCGACCACCACCUCCUCUCGUUAAAUCAGCCGCCGCUCAACUACUGCUUCUCGGCUCCAGCCCAGCUGCUCAACUUCUAGAAGCUAACCGUCAUCCGUAACCGGUAGACGCACGACGACGCCAAAAAAGACACACAAAAAAAAAAAAGAAACCAUUAUUCCAUCAUCAAAACCACUCGAUCAGUUGGUUUGUCAAAAACGGUCACGCAGUUGUUUUUUAUUUAUCUCUCUCUCUCUCUCCUUUAUAAAUAAAUAAAUAUAUGCCGUAUUAGUGUUUUUUUAUUUUCUCUGAAAGAAAAACAUUUUUUUACACCCCCUCCUUCCCCGUCAAAAAAAAGGAGAAAAAAAGAAAAUCAUCAUCCAAGAGACGCUAAACUACAAACAAGAGAGACAAUGAUUUUACUCAAUCCGCCCAUGGGAUUUCUGCUGCAGACGUCGCCGACGUUCUUGAUGUUUGCCGAAAGGGUGUGAGCACAUACAACGUCAGCACAGCACAUUUUUGCACGCACACCUCUCUCUCCCUCACUUUCCAUCUCUUUGUUCUCUCUCUCUCUCUCUUUCUCUCUCGAUUCUUGCCUCUCGCCGAAUCAUCCGUUUAUUGACUAUCGGUGUUAUCGCGUGCAAGACAUUUGUGUGCGACAAAAAAAAAAGUUUUUCUUUUGCACCCUCUGUCUAAAAUAAAGGAAAGGAAAAAAGGAUCAGUGUGUUUCUAAAGUGCAAAGUGAAUUAUCUGUGCCUGAGGAGAUUUUUUCAUAAGAGAGGGAAAAAGAGAGAAAGAGAGAGAGAAAAAAUUGUGAACAAGAGAGAAAGAGAGGGAGAGAGAGUUUGUGAGACAAAAAAAAAAAAUAAAUUUUCUUUUUCCCACCGGUUUUUGAAAACAAGGUUUCGGAUGGUUCAGAACGAUAUUCACGAUUACUGGUGGAUAAAACGAAGGUUAACAAAAAACAACAGAGGCAAAGGUGAAUAAGACAACGGAGAAGAAACGAAGAAAGUGGAGGUGGAGGAGGCGGAAGUGGACGGAAAAAUCAGGCAUCGCAAAUUUUUAAGAAGCAAGUAUUUUCUCAUAAACGGCACCUGAGAGAUUGCACCCUUCUUCUACUUCCUCUUCUUCUUCUUCUUCUUCUUCUUCUUCAUUUUUUUUUUACUUCAAAAGUAAUUGUGUCGUGAAAAUUGAUAUACAACGUUUCAUGGUGAUCGCGAUACUCGUGUUUUUCUUAUAUAUACAACAUAUAUAUAUAUAUAUAUUUGCACCAAUUCCUCACAUUUUGCACUGACUGUUAGAUUUUUUGUGACUGACUAUUUUUUACAUACCUUUUGGAGCACCUGUUGAUACUCUACUAUAUACUACGAAACCACAUUCUAUAAAUAGCAAAGUCACUCGAAAGCACCUGAUCUAGGAAGAACAUUUGCACGUUUGUUCAAUCCACUUUGUUGUUAUUGUUGUCAUCGUUGGUAUUUAUAAAUUCAAUUAAAAAAUACAUAUAUAUAUAUAAAGACAUUUUUUAAAAACCUUGAGGAUACAUUACAAAAUUUAAAAUGCGUUAAAAUUUUACACAUUUUAAAAAUAAAAAUACGAAUUUAAAAUAAAAUUUAAAGAUAUGUUACAAAUUUAAAGACACUAAAUUUUUUGUUACUUUUGAAAAUAAAACUGAGGAUGCUUUAAAAAAAACUUGAGUAUACGUGAAAAAAAUGUGAAGAUUCUUAAAAGGAACUUGAAAAUUAAAUGAACUGUAAAGACAUACAAGAAUAAAUACCCAACAAGAACUUAGGAAUUCAUUAAAUUCUUAGGAAUUCGUUAAAAAUUUGAGGAUUUAAAGAAAAAACGUUAAGGAUUCUUUAGAGACAAAAAGAUAUUAAAAAAAGAAUACUUAAAUUUUUUUAGGCAACUAAAAAUUUAAGGACACUUAAAAGAAAUCCAGAACACUUAAGAAGUUUAGUUACACUUAAAGACAAGUAAGGACACUUGAAAUCUUACGGACACGUAAAAAUACACGUAAUAUAAAUACACGUAAUAUACUUAAAAAUACACUUAAAGAUAGACUUAAAAUUACACUUAAAAUUACUCUUAAAAUUACUCUUAAAAUUACACUUAAAAAUACAAUUAAAAAUACAAUUAAAAAUACACUUAAAAUUUAAGGACACUUAAAACUUAAGGACAUUUUAAAAUUUAAGGAAACGUAAAAAAAAUUGACACUUAAAAACCUUAAGAGAAUACUUAAAAAGAAAUUAAGGAUACGUGAAAGGAGCUUAAAGUGACUUUUUUUUUUAAAAAAAAAAGAAAACGGUAAAAAACUAUAGAAAGUGAUAUUUAAAGUUCCGAGUGUUUUUAAUUCAGGGUUUCAUAUAUACGAAAAAAACAGCCUUAGCACACAAGCGCACAGUUUUAUACUUCGCACGCUUUUAUUGCACGAACAAAAUUUUAAGAAGAUUAAAAUUUAAAAAAAGUAAAUUCGUACAAAAAUAACUUAAUUCCGCCCAAUUAAUUGCCUAUUCUAUAAAGAAAAAAAAGAACCGUAUUUUUCAGAACUGUUUGUUGUUUACGGUAAUUGUGUUUUAUUUUUACAAAAAAGGAUUACAUUAACAAUUGCAUUGUGAAAACUUUUUCCUUAUCUAUAUAUUUCUCUUUCCCUCCUUUUCUCUCGGGGGAGGGGAAAAAAAAAUGAUACGGACGCAAAAAAUAUUAGUGAGGGGGACAAUGCGUGUAAGAUGGUUCGAGGUGAAAAGUUACAUUAACGAGAAUUUUCCUCCUCAUCAGUGAUAUAUUUCGAGAUAUAUUUUCAUUAUUUAUCCACAAAAAAAAAACAUGUUGAUAAUAUAUUGAACAUUUUGAAGAGUCUUGAGAAAUUUGUACUGAUUUUUAAAAAAAAAAUAAGUGUUUUUGAUUCAUUUUUUUUUCUGGGGGAGGAAUUGUUCUUUUUUUUUUUUUGUUUGGAAAUGUUUUUUUGCACUGUGCACCAUAUUGGCACCCCAGCACACCUAGAGCACCUUCGUCAAGUGUAUACGUUUAUAACAUUGCACACCUCACGUUGUAAUCGAACCACCUGAUUUCAGAACAGCACUCUGCACUUCUACCUCGAAAGAGAAGGACGUGCGUUCUCAUUGGAAGGACGUUAAAAGGGCCUAACGCUUCAUCAAAAAAGAAAAUAAUCGUCUCUCGAAUCAAAAUUCCAAGAAACUAGUGAAAGGAAAACAGUUUAUUAAUUCAAAAGUAGAAUUAAACUUUUCUUUCCUCUCUAUCUUUCUAUAUCCACCUCUUCCUCCACCACCUCCUGAUCCUGUCUUCUCUUCCUUUUUUUUCCAAUUCAUUGUGAGUGUGUAAAAAACAAACUUCGGCCUAACGUGAAUUUUUUCGACUCUAACGAACUCAAAAAAAAGAGUGACAAAAUAAAAAAAAAAAAAAAAAAAAGUAGUAGAGGAAAGGAACUGUAAUAUUGUUAUUUCAUAAAAUGACGAAUCGAAUGCUCUGGCUCCUCAGCUACGUGGGACUGGGGCUUGCAUUGGCCUUGGGAAAUCGGCCAGUAAGCAUUGAACAGGAUCAAAAAAGAAAUCAAAAUCACGACAAAAUGGUUGAAUUGGUGGGCAAUAUUAAUUCUGUUGAUGGAAAUGCACUUCAUUUGAGGUCGUAUCAACACGAUGUACCUCUAAGGAAUAACAUGUACCUGUACGAUGGUCAAUCGGAAACAAAUACUAAUAAUAAUAAUAAUAAUAAUAAUAAUAAUAAUAAUAAUAAUAAUAAUCCCCAAAAUUCCCCAACGAGUGUCUUUAAUAAUGAAAGGAUCCUGAAACCUUUAAAUUACAAAAACAAAUGGUUGGACAAUUUAUAUUCAACUGUAUUGAAUAUUAUGCAUCAGAAUAAUAAUAAUGAUAACGAUGAUGAUGAUGAUAAUACGAGACAUGGUGUACCAAUUCAAUAUGAGACGCCAUUUUUUUGGCAACAACAACAUGGUACGAGAAAAUUGUCAGAAAUUUGGGAGAGGAGAGAACCUAUUGAAUCGGAAGUGUAUGACUAUGUGGAGGGUCCACUUGUGAAAAAUAAUAUUAAUAUUAAUAAUAAUAAUAAUAUAAAUAAUAAUAACAAUCGGUUCAAUAAUCGGGACAAUCGAAUUAGUGAUAGAUCGGCUAUUGCAAAAUCGUCAUUUAACGAGAGUGAUGAGGAUAUACAGGAGGAAUCAACUGAUUCAGUAGUACCGUUAAUGAUUCGUGAUCGAGGAGGAGAACAGGAGAGUAGUUCGGGAUCAAUGAACAACGAGGAUGAUAAAUCCUCUGGAAUAAUGAGAAAUAGAGCAACAACGACAAAUCGUGAAGCGCGAGGAGUAUCAAAACGGCAUAAGCAAAAUUUACCUAUGCUACCUCCAAAUAUUGCUUCGCAAGUUAUGCUCAGAUCGGUUAGAGGGAAUAGGCAAUACGACGUUCCACAGAUCGAAUGUCCAGCAUCUGAGGAUGGAAUGGAACGUUUCGCGUGUCCAACGCCAGAUCGGAUGGGAAGAUAUCGAUGUAUCGAUGAUCAUGUUCUUUGUGACGGUUUCAUAGACUGUCCAACGGGAGAGGACGAAGACAGACAAGCUUGUAUGUUCUACAAAACCAUAAAAGCGCAUCUCGAUGUUUUGGCGGAUGCUGUACUAAGAUGGGCGAGAGGACGUUAAUAUAUCCCUUCGUGACCCAUCCUCAUUUUCAGCCUAAAACUUCAUAAAUCUGAUAAAUCGUUCUUAACUCCUUCUCUCCCUCUUGUUCUCUCCUUAACGAUCCAUUCUCUCUCUAUAUAUAUAUAUAUAUAUAUAUAUAUAUAUAUAUAUAUAUAAGUUUUUCUUCCUCUCCCCCUUUUACCCAUUUUUUAUUGCCCACCUUCAUCAUUUCCCAUUCCCUCCUAUAACUUUUAAGCUCGCAUCAUCUAUUUUCUGCGCGCCACGCCCUUGCAAGCACCGUUUCUCAAAAAAAAGUGGGACUUGAAGAAGAUUCAAAAAAAAAAAAGACGAAAAUAAUAAUUGUCAUUCUGGAAUUUUGAAGAAUAUAUUGCAACGAGGCUGAAACUCAAAGUGUUGAUGAAGAGGAUUUAAAAUAGAGUGCUCCGAGGAUCAAAAGGAUUAAAAUGAAGAUUAUUCACUUUGCCUGAUUUAUUAAUAAUAUAAUUGUUUAUGAAAAUUUUGCAAUCAAGUUCUAAGUCUUUGAGCACCUCAUAUUUCAUUAAUGGAUAAAUUCCUUCAUAUUUCACUGAAUCGAACAUUAUUUCAGUUUUGAUACUCAAAAAACAUUAAUAAAUACACAAAAUAAAAAUUUUAUUUCAAUUCUAAUUUUUAAUUUAGAUUAAUUUAAUUGAUUUAUUAAAUUAAUUUAUUAAAUUAAUUUAUUGAAUUAAUUUAUUAAAAUUAAAAAUUAUGAAUUAUAAAUUAAAAAUUAAAAAUUAACAUAAUUUCAUUUAAGUGCUCGUGUAUUUUAAUAAGGUUGAAGGAGAAUUAUGAAAUUGUUAAUUAUAAUCGUGUCGCUUUUUAGAGUAUUUUCCCUUGAUGAAAAAUUUUUUUAAAAAAGACGCUUUUUUGUAUUUUUUUUUUUUUUUUUU